rnacentral:tRNA from 1 species
GGGGGUCCAUUCAUGACCUGCUCCCUGCUUCCCAAGCAGACAGCGCGGGUUCGAUUCCCGUCAGCCCCUCCA